rnacentral:rRNA from 2 species
GCAGUCGAACGAACUCUGGUAUUGAUUGGUGCUUGCAUCAUGAUUUACAUUUGAGUGAGUGGCGAACUGGUGAGUAACACGUGGGAAACCUGCCCAGAAGCGGGGGAUAACACCUGGAAACAGAUGCUAAUACCGCAGAACAACUUGGACCGCAUGGUCCGAGUUUGAAAGAUGGCUUCGGCUAUCACUUUUGGAUGGUCCCGCGGCGUAUUAGCUAGAUGGUGGGGUAACGGCUCACCAUGGCAAUGAUACGUAGCCGACCUGAGAGGGUAAUCGGCCACAUUGGGACUGAGACACGGCCCAAACUCCUACGGGAGGCAGCAGUAGGGAAUCUUCCACAAUGGACGAAAGUCUGAUGGAGCAACGCCGCGUGAGUGAAGAAGGGUUUCGGCUCGUAAAACUCUGUUGUUAAAGAAGAACAUAUCUGAGAGUAACUGUUCAGGUAUUGACGGUAUUUAACCAGAAAGCCACGGCUAACUACGUGCCAGCAGCCGCGGUAAUACGUAGGUGGCAAGCGUUGUCCGGAUUUAUUGGGCGUAAAGCGAGCGCAGGCGGUUUUUUAAGUCUGAUGUGAAAGCCUUCGGCUCAACCGAAGAAGUGCAUCGGAAACUGGGAAACUUGAGUGCAGAAGAGGACAGUGGAACUCCAUGUGUAGCGGUGAAAUGCGUAGAUAUAUGGAAGAACACCAGUGGCGAAGGCGGCUGUCUGGUCUGUAACUGACGCUGAGGCUCGAAAGUAUGGGUAGCAAACAGGAUUAGAUACCCUGGUAGUCCAUACCGUAAACGAUGAAUGCUAAGUGUUGGAGGGUUUCCGCCUUUCAGUGCUGCAGCUAACGCAUUAAGCAUUCCGCCUGGGGAGUACGGCCGCAAGGCUGAAACUCAAAGGAAUUGACGGGGGCCCGCACAAGCGGUGGAGCAUGUGGUUUAAUUCGAAGCUACGCGAAGAACCUUACCAGGUCUUGACAUUCUAUGCAAAUCUAAGAGAUUAGACGUUCCCUUCGGGGACAUGGAUACAGGUGGUGCAUGGUUGUUGUCAGCUCGUGUCGUGAGAUGUUGGGUUAAGUCCCGCAACGAGCGCAACCCUUAUUAUCAGUUGCCAGCAUUAAGUUGGGCACUCUGGUGAGACUGCCGGUGACAAACCGGAGGAAGGUGGGGAUGACGUCAAAUCAUCAUGCCCCUUAUGACCUGGGCUACACACGUGCUACAAUGGAUGGUACAACGAGUUGCGAACUCGCGAGAGUAAGCUAAUCUCUUAAAGCCAUUCUCAGUUCGGAUUGUAGGCUGCAACUCGCCUACAUGAAGUCGGAAUCGCUAGUAAUCGCGGAUCAGCAUGCCGCGGUGAAUACGUUCCCGGGCCUUGUA